UUCAACUGGAAGAUGUCGAUGGAGAUAUGGAGAGGAAUGGGACCAGAGAACGAGGAGAACAUGGGAGGAAGAAGAGGAAAGUGGAAGUAGAUAAGGGAAAGAAGGGUGACAUCAUUUUUCAUCUGUACUUCACAGAUGGUCCCAAGAUCGUGGUUUCUUCUCCCAGUUCUUGAAUUAUAC